GUGGGGAAUCUUCCACAAUGGACGAAAGUCUGAUGGAGCAACGCCGCGUGAGUGAAGAAGGGUUUCGGCUCGUAAAGCUCUGUUGUCGGGGACGAACGUGCCAUUUGCGAAUAGCAGGUGGUAAUGACGGUACCUGACGAGGAAGCCACGGCUAACUACGUGCCAGCAGCCGCGGUAAUACGUAGGUGGCAAGCGUUGUCCGGAAUUAUUGGGCGUAAAGGGAGCGCAGGCGGGAAGGUAAGUCGGUCUUAAAAGUGCGGGGCUCAACCCCGUGAUGGGAUCGAAACUAUCUUUCUUGAGUGCAGGAGAGGAAAGUGGAAUUCCUAGUGUAGCGGUGAAAUGCGUAGAUAUUAGGAGGAACACCAGUGGCGAAGGCGACUUUCUGGACUGUAACUGACGCUGAGGCUCGAAAGCCAGGGGAGCGAACGGGAUUAGAUACCCUGGUAGUCC
rnacentral:rRNA from 1 species